GUGAGGAAUGCAUUACACAGGGACGCCCAACACGAUGCCCUCCGUGUCUUCAUCUCUCCCUCUCCACCUCCUCAGUCCCUUUCCCUGGACUUCAUGGGAGCCUGUUGAGCUCAAAAGAUCCCCAAGAGCCAAGAUGCAAGCCUGCAGAUUUCAGGACAGCUGGUCCUGGCGCUGCUGGCUGCUCGCAAGGGCCGGGCCUCCUCAUUGCCGUCACCAGCCCCCGUUGGGCCUCAUCAGAGCAAGACCAGGCUCGGCUGAUGCUCGGCGCUGUAUUCCUUGACGCCUCCAUGAGGCUUGCUGCCCAGCAUGUCCCAGGCUUGCUGGAAAUGCUGAAGCUCAGGCUCACCUCAGACCCACGACUCAGAGUCUGUAUCUUUUCCAGAUCCUGGAGUGAUCGCAUGUGCACGUAUAAAUCGGAGAAGCUUUGGCUUCCAUAGCCUCUGCUGGCUGUAACUAAUCCUUCCUCACCCCAUACUGAGGGAAAAGAAAGAAGGGAAGGGAGGGAAAGGAAGGGAAGAGAAAGGAGAAGGAAGGACAGGGGGAGAGAGAGAGAGAGAAAGGGAAGGAAGGAAGGCAGGAAAGGAAAGAAGGAAGGAAGGAAGGGAGGAAGGGAGGGAAGGAGAAAGAGAAAGGAAGGAAGAACAGGAGGUUAGGAGAGAGGAAUGAAAGAAAGAGAAUGGGAGAGGGACAGAGGGAGGGAGAGAGAAUGAUUCUGUGAGUCUCUUAACUCUGGUCCUCCUGUUACACAUCUUUUCUUCUACUUUUCCUUUGUUUCACACUUAAGCUUUGAAGAUGUAAAGUAGGACCAGAGGGUGAGAAAUUCAAGAACCUUGAAAUAAAAGACCUUUCUGUUUGCUUUUCAUUUCCUAAAAAGGAAGUCCUCACUGACUGUUCCUGUAAGGGAUAUUAAGCUGUGUGGAUUGUGAGUGAUUCGUCACACAGCAAUUUGGAGCAGGAAGCACACGAAACCCUAGAGCUAGCCUGCACGCAACUAAUUGAAGCCCUCAAUUAAUCGGAUUGGCUUCCACCUUCAGGAGAAAAGCAAAUACUAAGAAAACAAAUUAGCACCUGGAAUUUAACAACUUCCCUUUUUUGGUGUGGGGGCGCAUUAUAUUCAGAGUACAUGAUAACUGAUGGCUCGUCUCAUAGGCACAGACAUCUUUACAAUCCUCUAAGGCAGAGUGGUGUGGUGGAAACGGAGUUGGCAGAGGCAUCAGAUCUGCCCGGGUUUCCAUCCCAGCUCCAGCAUGCAUGGGCCAUGUCGCUUGGCAAGCAGUCUCACCACUCAGAGCCUUGAUUUCAGGAUUAAAAAAAUAAUAACCUAUUCAACAGAAUCAUGGUCGAGAAGAUUAGGGGUUUGUGCAACUCCUCACCUGGUGGAUACUCAACCGGAAUGAGUUCUCUUUCUCAGUUCCUGCCUACAGAUCUAUAGACACUUAGCUUUAAAAGCUUUGAUUAUGGCCAGUUGCCUGGUCAACCUAAUACCAGCAGAGGAGUGUAUUUUCCCUACUAUGGUGGAACAGAGGUAAAGGUUUUCCAAGUUUGAAGCAAUCAUACAAACAAAAUAGGAGCCCAAAGACUUCUGCGGAGCUUUGGAAUGAGAGAUGCCCAUUCUGGUUUCAGAAACGCCAGCGCCAUCUCUUGGAGGAGCAUGAAAUUGUUUCCUUGGGCUGAAGAAGCAUCCAUGGGGCCCCAGGUAGGUUCAGCUGGUCCUCUCCUUCUUUCAACUGUAGUUUCAGACUGGAACCCCAGGGCUUCUUCCAAGGGAAACAUUCUUACUUAUUUCCUUAUAAAGGUCCUGCAUACCUUUGUUUGUCUCUCUUCCAAUCAAACCAUUCUUUCUCUCUAAUUUCAUCGGGUCCAGUAUUUCCAAAUUUCAGUCCCAGUUUGUAAAUCUACAACUCAAGCCAAACCUUCAAAGACUGAAUUUUCUAAGUGGUUAGUUAUCCUUCUAACACAGAGGGUCUUCCUUCUAACACCCCAGCAGAGGCCGGGUAGCCUAGCACUCAAGAUCCUGGACUCUGAAGCUAGACCACUGUGUUUAGCAUCCCCUCAGCCUUCCAACUGUGUGACCUUGGAAAGUUACUUGACCUCUCUGUGCCUCAGUUUCCCCACCCACAAAAUGAGGCUGACAGCAGACACCACCUAGAAUGGUUGUUGCAGCAUUACAGGAGUUCACACCUGCAGCACUCGGUGCAGGCCUGUGACAGAUCAUGAGCAAGUGUUUGCCAUCAUCUUGGUUUUCAGUGGCUGUUCCCUUACACACCACUUACGACGCUGGGCUAGGAUUUCACUUGACUUGUCCAGGUUACCCACCAGGCGGUGUUUCUGUAGCAUGGGCAGUAAAGGCAGCAUAAAUCUAGGCCACACUCACAAAUGCACAUUGUUAGCACACAAACCCCGUGAUUCAGAUGCAGGUGGUCUGGGGGCCUGAUUUUUAGAGCUGCUGCACUCAGUUUUGUGCUCCUAGGGGGCAGGGACUAGCUCCAUCCAUCUCAGACCCCAGCCUGCAUGCAGCAAGCACCCGCCCCCUUGAAAGUGCUCAGCUCAAGUUGCUUUCCUUCUCCAUCUUCUUUAAUAAAUGAUCUUGGAGUGAACAAAUGGGAGGCUGACAGUAUUACACUAAAAUAACAGGAGUUUCUGGUCACCUGAGAAGCACAAUGGUCUCUCAUCUUCUCCUUACUCCAUUAGGAGUUCAUAUGCCUGCAUUUUCCUCAUUAAAUCUGAGGUGCUUUUCUGAACUCUAUCUGAGAAGGAGCUGAAGUAAUCAAUGAGUGUCUCACACACAAACACAUGGAAACAGGUUCUUAGUGAGAGCGGUGGGGACUCUGACUCCAAAUUUAAUGAUUUUUCACUAAAAAGGAAUGACGCUUCCCUUCACUAGAAAGCAAUGAUGUCUUCGGUGGUUGCAUCAAUGACCAAACAUGUAUAAUAAACUGCUUCUUUGAACUUGAGGACAUCUGAUUAAGAGAUAGAAAGCAAAACAAGCCUUCACAGAUGGUAAUAGUGCUGGGACACAUCACCUUUUGUGAAUAACUGAAGAGCAUAUAUUAAUAACAGAAAUCACAUUGGUGUGCCCUUACUGAGGAUCGACAAAGGAGAACACGUCUAUGUUUUGUGGAAACACGACUGAAGCCUUCAUCCAAUGACGUUGGCCGGCCCCGCUCUCCUCGUGCCAUCAAGCACUCUACGCUGACUCAGUAGAGCAGCACAGCCCUGUGUGUGGAGAGAUUCCCAUGCACCAUGGGAAGAGGGACCAAGCCUGGGCCCUGGAGGGCGCAGCCGGUGCAGUCUGCAGGAGGCUCUGUGUUUCAAUAACUGUGGUGUCCCCACACCCCAAGGGCCAUCUGUAGAUCUGCUGCUCCAAAGUCUCUCACAGUGGCUCUUCUUUGGAGGUCACUCUCCAGUUAAGUGGGGGACCAACUGCAAACUUCUCCCAUCAAUAUGAACUGCAAUAUGAUAUUGCAGCAAACAAAACACACACACACACACACACUCUCCCAGAAGCAUUUAACAGGAGAAGUGUGUACCUACACAUUUAGUCCCAAGAUCUCUUUCCAGGCCCUGUCCAGGUUCGUGGUGGAAGCCUGUCCUCUGCACACUGGCUUCCCCAAAUCUUCCCAUAUUCCAGAGCAGGGGAAUCCUUUCUCCAUCUUUUGGCUCAGAUCUACUGCGGAGUGUGGGAGAAAUAUUAAAAGUAAUGAUCCUUGAUGGUUAAAGCUGCCUUAUCAAGUUCCUGCCCCUGGGUUUAAAUAAAGUCUCUUUUUCUGCCAGCUUUAGAUAAGGAUGGAGGGUGAGAGAAACAGACAGAGACAGAAAGAGAGAGAGAAGAAGGGAGAGAGGCAGAGAAGCAAGGACUCUAUAGGGAAAGAAAGAGCUUGGACAUUAAUUCAUUUUAUGAAUAUUUGUUCUACUCUUCUUAAGAACAAGGUUUGUCCCAGGUGCCUUGGGGGCAAGAGAGAAUUUAAGGGGUGGCAAGGGGCCACUGUCCCGCAUCUUGGGGACGUUGUAGGCAGGCAGGUAGAGAUGUGCUAAGGUUCCCGGGUCCUGGAGAUGCCAGGCAAGUUGGAAAAUGCAGAAGAGGAGGCUGGGGUGGACAGGGGUCAUUUUGGCUGAAGCUGGUUAUGAGAGGCUUAGAAGGUGAAAGUGUCUGCUGUGCUGGGCCCUGAAAUGUAGGUCUUCUUGGCCACAGUGGGAAAGGGGAGCCCUAGAGGUCCUUGAACAGUCUGAGUGACAACACCUGGGCUGCCCAGCCCCAAAGGCCAAAACCAAGACACGUCUUUGUCCCAGAGGUUGGGCUUGGUGGCUGCAGCUGUGGAUGCUGACCCUUUCAUGGGCAUGGGGACAGGUGAAAAGCAGGAGCGAGGCAGGCAGGAGUGGGUGCCAGCACCAGCCCACAGCCAUGAGGCCUGUGCCAGGCCAGCCUGUGGGGACACUGGGUCCCCGAGAGAGACAUGGAAGCUCCCGCCAGCAGGAGACUUGAAGGUGGUCAGUUCUGAAGUCCUCUCCUCCUUAGGCCUGGACCUGGGGACACAGGCUCCAGCCAGCAGCAGGAGCCCAUGAAACUCAUUUGUCCCAAUCUUCUUCCCAAGUCUCAACAGCUUUCGGGGGGUUCUGUGACAGAUGCCCCACUUCCAGCUCCACAGCCAGCCCUACGCUAACUCUGACAGAUGAAAGGCCUCAGAAUCCCCUUCUUCAAUUGUACUGCACCCAACUUGUGGAAAGCAAAACAAUAUUAAAAAUACUUUUUAAGAAACUCUAGAAUAUAUUGUCAUCAAAGUGAUCACGGUUCUGCUUAUUUUUGGUCAUCGCAACCAAUGUACUGAGCCCCCUUUGCCCAGACCCUAGCAGGUCCUGAGUCUCAGCGUCCACAAAACGAGGCUAUGGCCCUUGGGGAGUUCCGUGCGGUGCCACAAUUGGCCUCUGAGUUACUCUAGAGUGAUAAACGCAGCCUUGGCAGUAAAAUACCAGAGAGGUAAUGAGUGCGGACUCCGUGCUCCCUCCGCAGGGGCAGGUGCGUGAGGCUCUAGCGCCACCUCGUGGGCCGUGGGAUUCGUGCCCAUCUCCUCCUGGGCGGGAGUUCCUCUGGAGCCAGGAACUCUUUGGGCUCAGGGUGUCUUUUUAGAAAAGCUUCUGACGUUGGUUCUUCUUUAGUGGACCUUCUCCGGUAAAACGGGGUUAACAACUCCAAACUUUUCCCCACCUAAAGGGAUUGAAAGGCUGUUUCAAAGGAAUUAGAGCUCUGAGACUGCAACCCACAAAACACACAAUAGCAUAUACACAGAGAUGCACAUAGAAACAUAGACACACAGGGACACACACCAGAGAUACACACACACACACACACGGACAGGCAGACACAGGGCCACAAACACAUACACAGAGAUACACACAGAAACAUAUACACACAGGGACACACACCAGAGAUACAUACACAGACACACACGGACAGGCAGACACAGGGCCACAAACACAUACACAGAGAUGCACAUAGAAACAUUUACACACAGGGACUCACACCAGAGAUACACACACACACGGACAGGCAGACACAUGGUCACACACACACACACAUACAUACAGUGAUAUUCAACAAGGGAAGGGUGCACCCACAGGCUCAGUCUUGAGACCUCUCUCCAGGCUCCUGGGUGGGUUGGGGAAGCUGAGCCUCCCUGCCUGCUCAUAGCACACAGCCUCCACAAAUCUUGCUCUAUUCCAGAGUGAGAAAGGAACGUUAAAACUGAUGAUCCCUGAUGGCCAAGGCUGCCUUAUCAAGAUCCUGUUCCCGAUUCAAUAAGAAAAGAUGCCUCUUGUGCCAGCAGCAGAUAAGGCUGCAGCCCUGGGCGUUCCCAGGAGAGCGAACAAUGGAAGCCCCCAGGAUGCCUCUAUAUGAGGUCUCCAGUGCCAUCCACACCUUCCGUCUGCCACUGCCAACAGCCACAGGUGAUGGAUGGGGACCAUAAUGUGAGAGGAGAAUUGUGUACUGGAAAUCAGCAUGAAGGGAUAUCCAAAGACCUGGAGAAACCCAAAUCACAUGGGGAUGGGAGAGUGAAGACCCAAGGGAGGGAUGUGCGGCAAGACCUGCUCUGAGCUCUGAGGGUGCAGAUGUAAUCAAGACUGAGUGCUGCCCCACCAGACCUGUAGACGAACUCUCCUUCUGGUGAGGCAGUGAACCUGCAAGCACGGGAAGGUGGUGGUGGGUUGGGUGCCAUGGAGGAAAUGAGGAAGCAGGAGAUACACUGGGGGCCAGGUGGGGUUGCAGGUCUCAGCAGGGUGGGGCUGAGGUGGUGAUGGGUGAGGGAGUGAGCUGUGGAGUAUCCAGACAGGGAAAGCAGCAAGUGCAAAGGUGCUGGGACAGGAGUGGAUUUUGCGGGUCUGCAGGGCAGUCGGUGUACUGGGAGUGGAGUGGAUGAGGUAGGACAUGGAGGCUACAGAGUCUCAGAACCCGUCAGAGGCUGGUGUGCAGUCAGGUUCUGCAGGGCAUUGUUGGCCACUAGGAGGAUUACAACUUUUUCUCUUACCCCAAGUGGACUUGAAACCAUUGGAGGGUCUGAGGGAAGAGUGAUAUGGUCAGAUGAAGUUUUUAAAUCAUGUAUUUAAUUAUUCUAGUUGAUGUGUAGAGAAUGGAAUUGGUGAGGGAGGAGAGAGUAGAAGUAGGGGGACAAGUUAGGACUGAUGGGAGAUUGAGUUGCUCCUUGGCCGUCACAGGAUUCUGCAUCCUCUGCCUUUACCAUGGGCCUUGCCUGCCUCUCCCAGGGACAGAGUGUACCCCUCCAACCUUAUUGACUGCGCAUUUGGCCAUGUGACUUGCUUUGCCUCGAGGGACAUGAGCAAAGGCCACAUCUGAGCAGAAGUUUUGAGGGCCAUUGCCUGGUUGGCUCUUGCUUUUUUCCCUCUGCUCUGAGAAGAGGCAUUUCCAACAGGGGGUACCCUCCAGUCCAGGUCCUAGAAUGGGAAAGCCUAUGGAGCAGGGCUGCCACCGUGGCACACAGCCAUGACAGAGGUGGGAGUGAGAAUGAGAUGGCUGUCGUCGUAAGCCUUGGAGAUGUGGAGAGUGCUGACCGACACAGGGGCCCUUGGGGUACCAGACUACAGAGGCACUGCUGGAACGGUGUGAGGUGAGUUGACUUUGUAAUGUUUUCUGAACAGCAGAGCUACCCAAAUUGGAGUUUGAUGUAUGGCAUUAGGGAGAGUUUGAUUUGGUUUAGGGAUAUGUUAAGUUCGAGAUACUCAUUAGACAUCUAGGUAGAGGCUGGAGUUCCUGGAAAAUGUCAACUACAGGUACAACUUGGAGUCAUCGUCUCACAUUUGCAAACUCAAUAUAUGCAAAUGGUAUGAAAAGUCAUGAGGCUAUACGUGAUCAACCAGAGAGAGGGUGUAGAAAGAGGUGUCUUCUUAGGACCUGGGGCACUCCAGCAUGUGCAGAAUGGAGAUCUCAAAGGGCGAGUGAGCACUGACCUGGUGGUGGCAUAGGCAGGUGCAUGUCAGGGAGAGAGAACCUGUGUGCAAAUACAAGGAAGGUGAGUGACAUGGUUUGGCUGUGUCCCCACCAAAAUCUCAUCUUGAAUUGUAGCUCCCAUAAUUCCCACAUGUUGUGGGAGAGGGCAGGUGGGACAUACUUGAAUCAUGGGGGCAGUUCUCGUGGUGGUGAAUAAGUCUCGCGAGAUCUACUGGUUUUAUAAGGGGAAACUCCUUUUGCUUGGCUCUCGUUCUGUCUUUGCUGGCUGCCAGGUAAGAUGUGCCUUUUGCCUUCCAUCAUAAUUGUGAAGCCUCCCCAGCCACUUGGAACUGUGAAUCCAUUAAACCUCUUUUCCUUUUAUAAAUUACCCAGUCUUGGGUGUCUUUAUCAGCAGCAUGAAAACGGACUAAUACAGUGAGAGAGCAUGACACCUUCAAGAAGGGGGCAGAGGACAAACUCUCCAGCCUGCCUGGGCUCAUGCCCAGCACUGUGGCCCUUCUCUAUCCAGGAGCCUUCCCUGUCAUUAUGCACACCCUCAGUCACUGUCCUCUGCUUGGCAGCACCUCUCUGGACUCACGGUUUGUGGACCAGUUUGUUCUCAUUAAUCCCACGACUUAAAUUUCUAGCACCCAUGACACACAACCUUUCCCUCUCCUAACUCAACCCCUUUGUCACUUUCCCCCACUUCUGACGUAAAGGUAACCCAUCUUCCCCAAUUACAAUUUCUUGUGGCCCAGCCUUGCCCCAGUACCAAUUUUUAGGAGAUGAUUUUUGUCACCAUAGGUUUUAUUUUACUGUGAAAGGCAUAAGAUUUGUUUGGGGCUCUUCUCUCUCUAUGUCCACCUUCCCUGCCCUCAAGUUCACCAUGCUCCCCCAGCAUGAUCUCCAGUCUUCCCUAAUGGCUGUUGGCUCCACUUCCCUCCAGCACUCUAAGAGUUAUCAGCCUGCAGAAUUAUGAGCUGCUCAGGUCACCCUACAGCAAGUCACUCCUCCCACCCAGAUCAUUCUCCCUCAACCCAUCAGAGCAAUCCCUGGAAAACAGGAAGGUGGCCCUUCACUCCCUCCCCUGCCACACUCCCGCCUGGUAAUUCCACCAUGGCUGCUUUCAGCCUCACAGGGACCUCAAGUCCCUGGAUACUUCCAUCCAUGCCAUGAUGUCUGGAACUCUCAAGAAAUAUUUUGGACAGUUUAUCUGCCUGCUCUUGGAUUUAUUGAGCAGGGAAGAAACUCUGUAAGUUCACAUAUCUCUACUCUAUCCCUGACAAUUUUUUCUGGGACUGGAGAGGAACCAGAAAGGGAAUGGAGUUGGGGAUUGAGGAAAGAGGGGAGAAACAAGAGAAGGGAAUACCUUGGGCAGCUGGGCAAGAAGAAACAAAGCCACACCAUCCAGAGACAGGGAUUUUGGAAUAACUGCAAAGUCACAAAAGUAUUGGGAAGAUGACUUAAUGCCCUUGAAUUCAAGUCCUCAGACAUACACAGAUAUUGUGGUGAUCAUCAUAGCAAAGCUAGCCUUCCCAGGAAAGAGAAUGCCAGAGGUUUUCCUCAGAGGAGGCAUAGAAUUAGCCUAGCCAGUGACCAGUUAGCCAGUGACCAGUUAAAGGACAAGUGUUGACUUUGACUUUACCCCAGUCCACUCACGCUGCCACCCCCAUGCCCUACAGACCCAGCCAUGUCCUUGUGUAAAGCACACCAGGAGACACCAAAGGUAUCACAGAGCAGGUCCAAGUGGGACAUGGGUUCUGAAACCUUAAUGCAAACCAAUGGCAUGCUGGUAUCUGAUCCCACCAUGACCUUCAUCUCGAGAAAGGUGCCACGAGGCUGUUUCUUGAAAGGAAGUUUUGUUGACCUGGUUCCUAUACUGAAUAUGACCACUCACUACCUGGAUUUCUUUAGCCAUUUGGAAUAGGAGCAAGACCACAAGCGCUCAUUACCUUCCUGCAUGAAAUUACAUCUCCUGGGAGGAAGAGAGCCAUAAACAUCAAGGUGGGUGUCACCUGGUCUUAAUUUCUUGGCUUCAUUAGAAAAAUCUGAGAACUUGGAAUGACAUACCCACAGAGAACAUUUGGGUUUACAUAAACUAGUAUAUCCUUCAUGUAUAAAUACAUAGUUUAAUGUAAAAGAAUUGUGGGCCCAAACCAACAGUUUUAGGGUAUUUAAUUAGGAUAUUAUUCAAUAAGCACAAACGGCUCUUCCUAGGUCGGUAUUUGAUUCACCACUGAAAAAUUUGAAACUAGGAAGCAAAUCUCUAGAGAAGUUGCAUUUAUUAUUUUGGAGUAAUGGUAAACUUUGGGGAUUUGAUGAAAACGAUGGGCCAUCUCAUCAUAAAAAUUCACACAUACAAACAUUUUUUUCUAUGCAAUUUAGAGGGUACCCAGCCCUAGCUAAGAAUCUCUGAUCUAUUGAUUAAAAUUCUAAAAUAACUAAAAUAAUAUGCAUUUAUUUAUUUAUUUAUUUAUUUUGAGAUGGAGUCUUGCUCUGUUGCACAGGCUGGAGUGCAAUGGCACGAUCUUGGCUC
rnacentral:lncRNA from 1 species